GACGAACGCUGGCGGCGUGCCUAACACAUGCAAGUCGAACGGAGCUAUGCGCUGAACGGAGAGCAGCUUGCUGAAGGAAGUUCUUGUAUAGCUUAGUGGCGGACGGGUGAGUAACGCGUGAGCAACCUGCCUUUCAGAGGGGGAUAACGUUUGGAAACGAACGCUAAUACCGCAUGAGACCACACUUCCACAUGGGAGAGGGGUCAAAGGAGCAAUCCGCUGAAAGAUGGGCUCGCGUCCGAUUAGAUAGUUGGGGGGGUAACGGCCCACCAAGUCGACGAUCGGUAGCCGGACUGAGAGGUUGAACGGCCACAUUGGGACUGAGACACGGCCCAG
rnacentral:rRNA from 1 species